rfam:Asian citrus Psyllid, Diaphorina citri - Florida Strain, whole genome shotgun sequence.
GCCAGUUGCGAUAGCACGUUGAAUGCACCCGUUUCCCGUGAAUCACUCAAGUUAAGAAACGUUGCGCGUGUUUAGUAUCCGCAUGGAUGACGAUCUCGGCAAUCGCGUGCUGCUGGCU